rnacentral:tRNA from 1 species
GGAAAUAUGCCCGAAAAGAUAAGGAUUACUUUGAUAGAGUAAAUAAUAGAAGUUCAAACCCUCUUAUUUCCU